AGUCAAUAGAUACCCAGGUAGUCCACGCCCUAAACGAUGUCAACUGGUUGUCGGGUCUUCAUUGACUUGGUAAACGUAGCUAAACGCGUGAAGUUGACCGCCUGGGGAGUACGGCCCCAAGAUUAAAACUCGAAGGAAUUGACGGGGACCCGCACAAGCGGUGGAUGAUGUGGAUUAAUUCGAUGCAACGCGAAAAACCUUACCUACCCUUGACAUGUACGGAAUCCUGCUGAGAGGUGGGAGUGCCCGAAAGGGAGCCGUAACACAGGUGCUGCAUGGCUGUCGUCAGCUCGUGUCGUGAGAUGUUGGGUUAAGUCCCGCAACGAGCGCAACCCUUGUCCCUAGUUGCUACGCAAGAGCACUCCAGGGAGACUGCCGGUGACAAACCGGAGGAAGGUGGGGAUGACGUCAAGUCCUCAUGGCCCUUAUGGGUAGGGCUUCACACGUCAUACAAUGAUCGGAACAGAGGGUUGCCAAGCCGCGAGGUGGAGCCAAUCCCAGAAAACCGAUCGUAGUCCGGAUCGCAGUCUGCAACUCG
rnacentral:rRNA from 1 species